rnacentral:piRNA from 1 species
UGAAUCUUUAACAAGCUCACUAGGUAUUUCA